rnacentral:rRNA from 1 species
GACGAACCGUCCAAACGUUAUUCGGAAUCACUGGGCUUACAGAGUUCGUAGGCGGUCCCAAAAGUUAGGUGUGAAAUCCCUCGGCUCAACCGAGGAACUGCGCUUAAAACUGUGGGACUCGAGGGAGAUAGAGGAAAGCGGAACUGAUGGUGGAGCGGUGAAAUGCGUUGAUAUCAUCAGGAACACCGGUGGCGAAGGCGGCUUUCUGGGUCUUACCUGACGCUGAGGAACGGAAAGCUAGGGGAGCGAAACGGG